GUGGGGAAUAUUGGACAAUGGGCGAAAGCCUGAUCCAGCCACGCCGCGUGGGUGAAGAAGGCCUUCGGGUUGUAAAGCCCUGUCGGGAGGGACGAAACCUUCGGGUUGACGGUACCUCGCAAGAAAGCACCGGCUAACUCCGUGCCAGCAGCCGCGGUAAUACGGAGGGUGCAAGCGUUGCUCGGAAUCACUGGGCGUAAAGCGACCGCAGGCGGCCCUGCAAGUCGGAUGUGAAAGCCCUGGGCUCAACCCAGGAACUGCAUUCGAAACUGCAUGGCUCGAGGUCGGGAGAGGGAAGUGGAAUUCCUGGUGUAGCGGUGAAAUUCGUUGAUAUCAGGAGGAACACCGGCGGCGAAGGCGGCUUCCUGGCCCGAUUCUGACGCUCAUGGUCGAAAGCGUGGGGAGCAAACAGGAUUAGAAACCCCGGUAGUCC
rnacentral:rRNA from 1 species